rnacentral:rRNA from 1 species
GACGAACCGUGCGAACGUUGUUCGGAAUCACUGGGCUUAAAGGGCGCGUAGGCGGGCUGCCAAGUCUGGGGUGAAAUCCCACGGCUCAACCGUGGAACUGCCUUGGAUACUGGCGGCCUCGAGGGAGGUAGGGGCAUGCGGAACUGUGGGCGGAGCGGUGAAAUGCGUUGAUAUCCACAGGAACUCCGGUGGCGAAGGCGGCGUGCUGGACCUCUUCUGACGCUGGGGCGCGAAAGCCAGGGGAGCAAACGGG